CUAGCUCUCUUCCCUCGUCCUAAUCGAAUAUGGAGAACAAAAUUUCCAACUUGUAAAAUCCCUAACUUCAUCUCCUUCAAUUUCCGGCGAAGACCACCGCUAUCAGUCCGACGCCGUCGCCGCCGUAGUUGCAGGGCCACCUGCGACGCCACACUCUCUUCUCCUUCAGCUAAUGAUCGAAAUUCGGCGGAUCGGCGUGGCCGAACUCGGUGCGGAUCUCGAUGAUUAAGAUCUCCAUGGCAGACGUCGAGGUAGAGCGCGCCGGCGGCGAGUUAGUCGUAGAUGGAGAGGUUUUGGCACUAGGCGAAGGGGAGUUCUAGACCUCCGAUUUGGCACGCGGAAGUCUCUCUCUCUCUCUGUCUCUCACAAAUCCAAAUCGAAACACACACACACGACUCAAAUCUAUCGGGCUCCCUCUCCUCAAGGUCAUGCUGUGGAAGCGAUGGGCCGGCAGCCGGGAUGCUGUCGUACCCGCUCGGAUUAUUUGAUAUCCCCCUUUUCUGCUUCACUUUCCUGGUGUGUGUGUGUGUGUGUCUUUUUUGUGUUGGAAAUUCAGCAAAAUUUCUGUCUUUUUGUUGAAAAAGUGUAGCUGAAGAGAAUAGAGAACAAAAUUAAUCGGCAAGUGACCUUCUCCAAGCGGCGAUCGGGACUUCUCAAAAAAGCUCAUGAGAUCUCCAUCCUCUGCGAAGCCGAUGUCGGCUCAAUCGUCUUCUCCACCUAGGGCAAGCUCUUUGAAUAUGCUACUGAUUCGUGCAAGAUAGAAGCUGGGAAGAUGCAGCUUGAGGUGCAAGUGUUCGACGUGGAGCAGCUUCUGGAGGAUGUGGUUGAUCUAUACUAUCCUGCUGGCAUGAAUAAAGGCGUAGAUGUGAUCUUGGAUCCAUGCGAUGGCUCUGUCUCGAGAUGUCGUUGGGCUAUAGGUGAUGCAUACAGUUGGGAUGCUAACUUUGUCUAUGUAGAAAAAAAAAAGAAUACGAUUUGAUCAUAUGACUGCCACUGUUUGUUUCUUCAUCAUAUAAUUUGUAACUGUGCAUUAGAUUCAAGUAUGUAGCAAUAACUUGCGAUGUGAAGAUGAUCAGGUGGUGCAAGUGGUGAUUCAUGAGCUCGUUCGUGCUUAUGAUGAGUGUCGUGCUGCUAAUCUCGACUGGACUAACUGCACUCAUCACGCUUGCAAUGAGGUUAACUAACUAUCAUUAAGAAAUCUAAGCAUUGUUUAAUGCUUCAUCAUGCUUUUGUAAUUCUUGGUUAUGCAUAGUAUUUGUUGGAGCAGAUUCGAGCUAAUCAUCUCAGCGGUUAUUGCCACUUGAAACAAGAGCUUCUUCGUGGGCAUUUGAAGAUAAAGAAAAUACUCUCACAGUAUUAGGACUGGAUGAUACACUGCAAUAAACUGGAGCAGAGACUGAAUGUUAGUGAAAUUUGUAGCAGCAAGGAGCAAAUCAUGCAAAGAGUAGGUAACAUUGUUGGAUUAGAAACUCCUAUUGUUAUAUACCUUGCUGUUGCUGAUGAUCUCCUUGAAGAUAACUCCGUACUCGAGGGGUAGGGCAAAGGUUUGCUUCCUUUCGAGAAGAAGAAGUUGGGAGAAGAAGAAGUUGGGUGUUCUUGACACGUACAAGAAGCACCCCUAUCUGAUUCAAUCGGCUAUAGACUAUGAAGUUUGCUUGAGAUCUGAUGUGUUUGUGGGGAACACCUUCUCGACUUUCUCCAGCCUUAUUGUUCUUGACAGAACUCAAUUGAUGAUCAGCAAGGGUCUUACACAACAGUGCGGGUUAGAUGUUAGAUGGCCUUCUUAUGCCUACAAUUUAGAAGGUGAAUUAAAUGGUCCACGCCCUUGGGCAGCUAAUAUGUCGGAUGUGAGCCUCCAAGCCAUUAGUUAUGGUUCGAAUCAUGUUUCUUGUCGAUGAUUCUUGAGUUUUGUUUUCCAUGCUUAUUGUGGGACGCGGUUUUCGACAAAUUCGGUGGUAAACCUUCAACUCCUUUUUGUAGAUGGCAUGAGAUUUUCUGCUAGAGCAAUGAAAGCAAUGAGAGGAAACCCAUAUUGUUCGGGAAUAAAAGCGGAGGAUGCCAUGAAAGCUAUUUGGAGUACCUGCUAUAACGACACUGCGCCCUUCGACACUUGAGAGAGGCUGCUACUCACUUCUUUUGGCAUCAAAUUAAUUGCCACUCUGAAGUUGCUACUGCACUGAUUAUGUAUUUAAGUUUACAUUCUCGAGUUAUCUUUAAUCCACGCAGAUUUCACAUUACUACUAAUUUCUUUGUUGUAGAGCUGGUUAUGGAGUUUUGUUAUUUAUUUGUUGAUUUGGUGUUUUUUGGUUACUUGAUCUAUCCUCCAAUUUUGGGGGCCGAAUUGGAAGCAAUUGAUUUUGAAAUUAUUUUUGGUUGAAUGUUUCUAAUAGCUUAGAUAUGUAGAAUUUAUGUAGCUUAGAUCUCUUUCUCUUUCUCUUAUGCUCAUUGGUAGAUUUUUUUAUGAGAAACAGACUGAAUAUCUUGUA